AGAAAUGCUGGGACCUGGGCGCCGGCAGGCGGGGCAGUGGGAGGAGCCUGGGCGAGGGCUGGAGGACCCGAGUGCGAACCGGUGAUGCGAGAGGCAGGGCGAGGUGUCAACAUGGAAGAGCCGGGGUGGGAAGACAUCUACUUUUAUAUUAACAAUUUAGCGAACCACAUCUGUUGAGCCUCUGUGAGACCUCAGCGACUCUAUUGAAUAAUAAGCUGGACAGCAGUUUAGUGCUUAGAGCUCAGAGUAUAGCCCGUGUGGGGCUACAGGGAUCAAGAAGAACUUAAGAAUCUUUACAUUCACUUGAAAAUGCCUGCUGAAUUUCUGGAUCUUGAGUUAAGUCCACCCCAUGCUCAAGAACCAAAGUGACUGUCGACGGCAGAGCUGGAUGUGCCUGGAUGUCACAAGCUCUUAAUGUCUGCCCACCGACCACCGAGUUACAUCCCAGAUCCUUCGCCAUCUGUACCACAGUCACACAGGUGGUAAAAGUGGUGCAUCCAGGAUUCAAGCCCACAGUGUGUCCCUGGAGGCCAAACUCCUCCACACACCAUGUGCUCAGCCAGACCGGACAGCUGCCAUUCCCUGCAGUGCAGUUCACCCCCACCUACAGGCCUGGGCUUGGGAGGGUCCCCCCCUUACAAAGCCAGGGCUCUGA
rnacentral:lncRNA from 1 species